AGUGAACGCUUUCUUUCUUCCUAACACAUGCAAGUCGAACGGCAGCACAGUAAGAGCUUGCUCUUACGGGUGGCGAGUGGCGGACGGGUGAGGAAUACAUCGGAAUCUACUUUUUCGUGGGGGAUAACGUAGGGAAACUUACGCUAAUACCGCAUACGACCUACGGGUGAAAGCAGGGGAUCUUCGGACCUUGCGCGAUUGAAUGAGCCGAUGUCGGAUUAGCUAGUUGGCGGGGUAAAGGCCCACCAAGGCGACGAUCCGUAGCUGGUCUGAGAGGAUGAUCAGCCACACUGGAACUGAGACACGGUCCAGACUCCUACGGGAGGCAGCAGUUGGGAAUAUUUGACAAUGGGCGCAAGCCUGAUCCAGCCAUACCGCGUUGGUUAAGAAGGCCUUCGGGUUUUAAAGCCCUUUUGUUGGGAAAGAAAAGCAGCAGGUUAAUACCCCGCUGUUCUGACGGUACCCAAAGAAUAAGCACCGGCUAACUUCGUG
rnacentral:rRNA from 1 species